AAUCAACGCUGGCGGCGUGCCUCAGACAUGCAAGUCGAACGAUUAAGACUCCCUUCGGGGAGUGCAUAAAGUGGCGCACGGGUGAGUAACACGUAAGUAAUCUACCUUCGAGUGGGGAAUAACAUCGGGAAACCGAUGCUAAUACCGCAUAACGCAGCGGCAUCGCAAGAUGACAGUUGUUAAAGGAGCAAUCCGCUUGAAGAGGAGCUUGCGGCAGAUUAGCUAGUUGGUAAGGUAAUGGCUUACCAAGGCUACGAUCUGUAUCCGGUCUAAGAGGACGGUCGGACACACUGACACUGAACAACGGGUCAGACUCCUACGGGAGGCAGCAGUCGGGAAUUUUGGGCAAUGGGCGAAAGCCUGACCCAGCAACGCCGCGUGAAGGAUGAAGUAUUUCGGUAUGCAAACUUCGAAAGAAUGGGAGGAAUCAAUGACGGUACCAUUUAUAAGCUCCGGCUAACUACGUGCCAGCAGCCGCGGUAAUACGUAGGAGC
rnacentral:rRNA from 1 species